CACGCACGCACACACACACACGCACACGCACCCGCCCGCUCGGCUCCGCUCCCGAGCUGCCUCAGCAAGGAGGAGCCCGGACGGAAAACACCAGGGCAGCAAGGAUUUGGAAGUGGAGUUCCUGGAGAAUGACCCUGGCAGUGAACGCAGGUUUCCCUGAAAGCUGAGGCUGUUUCUUAUUCCCUAGAGGGGAAUAAGAAGGGAUCCCGGAUGUCAGCCCGAUCUCCGUUUUUUAUUUGUCUCGACUUUGAGGCAGAUUUUCUCUUUCAGCUUUGGGAGCUGACAGGUACAAUUCCUGUAGGCACCUUUGCAUGAAACAAGACCAAGGCCAAGAAGUUGAUUUGUCAUUGCUUUUCCUAGUUAGCCAGCAGUAUGUCCUUCUAUUAAUUGCUAUUAGUAAGUUAACCUUGUAGCUCAGUUAUUGAAUAAUCAUUAAUCCAUGGAGGAUACACAAGCCCAAAGGUUAAUAAUAGGAAUAGCAAUUAAUAAUAUUGACCUUGCCAGUGGGGAGAGUAUUUUUGUCACAGUUAUUAAAAGGCACUACUAUUUAUACUAGGUACAGUGGUGCAAAUUUGGACUCAAUAUGUUGAAUACCAAAUUACUUCAACAACACCAGAAAUUAAUUCACUCCUUUAUCUCCAUGUUAUCAGUCCUCUGACUUUUUCUCAGUUUAAAACGCAUCAUCCCCUACUCUCUCAUUUUAAAUAGAAAUGCUAGGUCUUUAAUCAAUUCUGACAUUUCCACUAGAAAAUAACAUUGAGCUCACUUACACAGAUAAAAAUUUAUUUGCCUGCAGCUGAUUUGUUGUAGUGCUUUGGACCUAUUCAUUUCUCAGAGAGGACUUAGCUUUUUAUGGUCUUUUGAUACCAUGGGGUAAUAAAUAGGAGAUCAGUACAAAGGGAACAUUCUCUCUUUUAUAGGUCCAACUCUCCACUCCCUAGAGUUGCCUCCUUGCAGAGCUACUCUGACUGACUGACUGACUGACUAACCUACAUCCUUCUAUUGUCAAAGACCCAUCUCCUUUAUUCGUAUCACAUUUCUGACUGGCUGGUCAGUAAGCCCUAAUAAUAAUCAUGUUUCAUGUCUCAGAAAUCUAAUAAUCAAGUUACUCAUUGCUACAAAUUGCAGCUAAGCUAUUUGGGUUAGUCACGUUAUCCCCACUUUAAAGGCAGGGAAACUGAAACAGGAAAAUUAACACAUUUGCCUGAGGCUACACAUGGAUUUGAGACCAGAUCCAGAACUGGAACUGAGUUUAGAUCAAGCUCCCUCUUAAAGAUCCUCAAAUGCACUAUGGAAAAUCCUUCCUUAAAGUUGAAAUGUAACAUAAACCUUAUUUUCUAUCAACUUGGUAUAUUAGUCAAAAUAUACUCCCUUUUUAGGCUCACAUUUUGUUUUUAAAAGAUAAGGUUUAUUCAGGUUAAAAAAAAAAAACAACAAAAAACAACAAACUGUGGUAAUACUUCUCAACUAUAUCAAGCAGUUUACUUUGGAAACAAAUAUUUAAUACCAGACUGUGAGUAGUAAUGGGAAUAGAAUUGCUUGUUGUUAGGCUACUGUAAACAAUAUUAGCUGAAUGUUAUGGUAUUGUUACAAGCCAACAAACUAUGAUGGGAAGUCCAGGAUUAGUAUAGAUAAGGCUCUCUUGCUUACCUAGUGUGCACUGGUUUUCACCAUAAUGCUCCUUCAGUGCUUUCAGUAUCCAAAUACCUAGUAUGAGUCUAAUUACUGAAAAACAUAUGAGACAACCAUAUACUGUGUUUGAGAGUUAUGAUUUAUAUCAUUAAGCAGUGAGUUUUACCAAGUUGUGUCAUUCAUGUCACUGGACCAGGACAUAUAUUGCCUGUCCUUUAGCUGUGCCAUGUCGUCAAAGCUAUUUGGUAUGACUGAGCACAGAUGGCAUGCCUAAAAACCAGGUAUACAAUGUAACUUUCCUAUUACUGACACGUAGAUAUUUCCUCUUCCUCAAUUUCCCCCCCUAGAUGUUUGCUUGCCCAGCCUUCUACAGGAACUGUAGAAAGUCCUGUUCAUCCUGCUCAUCCCUGAUGCCUGGAAUUGUGGAGUUGAAACCCUAUACAGAAUAAGCGUUCACAUUCUUUUUUAAUUAUUUUUUUUAUUUAUGCUGACAGCUCCUUUCUGAGCAUUUUUAGAGUCCUGAUUUGAGGGAAGUGGGUGCAGAUCUCAUUCAAAUAGUCAUUCUCCAAUACCAUUAGCAUUACCUGCCAAAAAUGAAAGUGGCAUAUGAAUCACAAUAAGCCACUCAUGAAUUUGUGGAUUUAGAACCUGCCAAGGAACAACAGAUACACACACGAUUUCAAAGACCCAUCAGUUUUAGGUACUUCCAGCAGUGCAUAGAAGUACAUUUAUCCAAAGACCAUCUUAUUGAUGGCACAUUCUAUAAGGCCUACAGACAUAACUGAUUCCAGGGAAAUAUAAUAAUAACUGAAAAUAUUUCUGUUCCAGUCUUUCUUUUACAAGUGAGGUAGUGAAAGUGAUGAAUCUGCUAAUCAUAACCAUGUCAGAGGCCUUUCCUGAGCUGCCCCUUAUUGAAGUGCUACUGUGACAUAAUGAUGUGUUGCUGUUCUGUGAGAAGAGCUUUAGAAUCCACUGGGAAAUAUCACAGUUGCUUUCCAGUUCCUUUCAGACAUGUAAAUACCUUUAUGUUUAGACAUGAGUACAGAGGGGUGGAAAGUGAAGUUCAGCAAGGAGUAGAGUGGGGUUAAAAGCAUCCACAUGGAUCCAGGAACCAAAUACAUACAUAUGUGGACUUUUUUCUGUAUCUGAUAUUACCUGGGGCUUGAAAUGAAAAUGUUCAUUAUCAAGAAGAAAUGCUUAAGGAACAUGUGCCUACUUGAGAGUUAUGUUGACCCAUGGUUGACAGAGAAGGCCAUCUUCUGCCUGAAAUUGCAGAUGAGCAACAGAACUCUCAGUAGUGCUCAGAUACUUUUGUCGUUCUCAAGUUAUAUGUACAUUAUCGAGUAUGGUUUAUUUCCAGCAUGUAGUGUGUGGAUAAUGCUAUAUCAGUGAAAACCACCACAUGCCACCUAUCAUUCUUUAUAAUUGCUCGCUUUCAUCAUGGUUUGCUUAAGCUGAGCACAUCAGAAACUGAAAAUAACAUUCGGGUAUUUUUUCCUUCUUAACAUACAAAAAUUCCAGCCUACGUUUUGAAAACUAUUUAUAUGCUAUUAUUUGUGAAACCUUGCAAAGAAACCUGCAUAUUGGCAUGGAGUACACAUGGAUGUCUCAGCAGCUUGAUGAAAUGUUAAGACUUGGUUUGAACUGUGUUCCAACCAGUUAUAAAUGUUAUCUGUUGUAGAUGAAAAUAGUAAUCAACAGAUAGAACCAUGCUGAAGUAGCCUUCUGUGCAUAUCUUAAAUGCAAGUGGCCAUUACCAGCUGUACCACAACCUUUUCUCAUGUUUCAUCUUGCAAGUGGCUCAGUGGAAGAUAGUCAGAUGUCUUUUUCUGAAUAUGUUUUCAGUGCAUUUCUGCAGUCUGUUGGUUAUUCUACUCUGUGUUGGUUAGACACCAAUCUCUUGAGCUCAGGCCUAUAUCGCCUUGCUACUUGAGUGUUUGUUCUGAAAAUUUCUUUACUGAAGUGGGCAUCAUGUCAAUAAUAGCAUAUUCAUCAGUCUAUCUCCAGACUGGCUUAGGUUCUCUCCAAUCAUACAGUGAAGGCCCAUGUUUCCAGGCCCUUAUGCUACACUGUACCUCAGUCCAUUCGGCCUCUCUCCAACAUGGUACUGCUCCAACUGCUUUUUCCUCCACAUCUCUGUUACAGGAGAUCUUUGGAUUGCCUGAAAAAGUAAAGUGCAUCCUGUGGAUUUCCUCGUAAAACUUUGCUUCUUGGAAAAGAAGAUCAACUUUUUGCAGGUGCAUCAGUGAUGCCAGACUCACUUCUGUUUUGCCCGGCUGCUGUCUCCCUCUUCCACCAGUCUAAAAGUACCAUUUUUUAAAGGAUUGAAGGAGAUAAUAUUAACAUGUGUGUAACCACUUAUCCUGCACAUUGUCUGUUCUUUUCUCCUUCCACUUGGUGUCUGGUUUGUCUUGGCUGCUUUUAAAAAUUCUGUUGCCUCUAUUGAGAGACUGCCAGAUUAUACCAGUGAAGAGAAACCAGGUGACUGUCUACUUUUAUGAAUAUAGGUUGUGUAUAAUAAAUUCCGGUUUUACAUCUAUGCAAAUUAAAUCAUCAUAUGAUUCUGACUACAUGCAUUUUUUAUCAAAUAUGGCAUAUAUUUCACAAAUUAUAUUUAACUUGUAGUCGUGUUGCAAUUUUGAAUACCUAACUAGGAGUUACAAGGUGUGCCACUAGAUCUUAGUAAAUAGGUUUACAACCCCAGAAGAAACAGGAGAUCUUUAGCUUUUUUUCUUGUAUUCUUGUUAAAUCUAGUGAAAAAGCUUUUCCUGCUAUAGCUGAUAAUAUAAAUGCCUCACUACUAUGCUGUUUAGAGACAAAAGUACACUUAGUUUCUAGAAAUGUAGCGAUUUUGUAAGGGCCUAAACAGAAUGUGCCCAGAAUAAGGAAAUUUCAAAGAAACAUGCUUUUGGUCUGGAGUUAGUGAGGCCUUUUAUUAAUGUUUCUUGUCACAGAGUAGAAGACAUCAGUCACAAUGUCAAAAUAAACAUUUUACUUCUGCAAAAUUAUAUUUUCACUUCAGGAAAACAGGAUUUAGCAUAAUUCUUCCUGUGGACAGACAGGGCAGUUUUAGUGUCAAGCUCUAAGCCUUGCAAUAUGAUUCCCAACCAUAGGUGCACCAGACUUUGAAUAAUCAGUCUGUCAGAUGAGCUAUGACAGGCAUUAUGCUGUAAAGGUAGCCCCUCAAUGCUUUUAAUGUUAAUAAUUUUCAGUAACUGCUGCUGCUUUUUCCUAAAUAAAAAGAUAUUUUGUUGACCACAAA